rnacentral:tmRNA from 1 species
GUCAUUUACGUCAGAUAAGCUUUAGGUGAGUCACGGGCCUAGAGACGAAAACUUAGUGAAUCGCCGUCGUAGAGCGUGUUCGUCCGCGAUGCGGCGGUUAAAUCAAAUGACAGAACUAAGUAUGUAGAACUCUCUGUGGAGGGCUUGCGGACGCGGGUUCGAUUCCCGCCGGCUCCACCA